CACCCCUGCAUGUAUAAUAACGACAGCUCUCUUUAGUGGCAAUGGGGUUGGUCGGUGAGAGGGGCAUGGAAAUAUCAGCAGCACUGGCUUGCAUUAAUGAGUCGGUAGGAGUCGGCUCUUUUCCACCCUCUGAGCCUAUGUCACUAUGCACCGCAAGAAUAUAUCCUCCACUGAUCUAUGCACCUUGUGAUGUGAGCAAGUGCACGUCAAAAUGGUUUCUUAUGUUACUUAUUGAAGGACCACUAUCGUGCCAGGAAAACAAACUCGUUUUCCUUGCACUAUAGGGUCAUUAGGUGCCCCCCACCCUCAGAGGCCCCCUCCCGCUGGGCUGGAGUGGUUAAAACCCCUUCAGCCACUUACCUUUCUCCAGUGCUGGGUUCCCUCUGGGGAACUGUCUACCCCCUGCCGAUGUCAGAUUCCGAAUGUGCAUGCGCGGCAAGAGCCGUGCGC